rnacentral:tRNA from 1 species
GGGCGCAUGGUCUAGAGGUAUGAUUCUUCUUUAGGGCUGGGCUUGACCAGAACAUAGAAGAGGUCCUGGGUUCGAUUCCCAGUGCGCCCC